AUGACCAUGGGGGCGGAGCGCGAGGCCGGCGAGGAGGAGGAGUCGCGGCGCCCCCUUCUCCCACCCUCUCCGUCGCCAGCGGCGGAGCACCAGCAGCAGUACCAGCACCUGGGGCGGAGCAGCUCGUCGGCGCUGCGCGGGGGCGGGGGCGCGGAGGUCAGCGCCGCCGAGGUCAGCGCCGUCCUCUCCCCGUCCCCGUCGUCUGCUGCCACUCCUCCGCAUACGCAUGCGCAAGGUUUGGCGAUUGUUCCUCAAGGGCCGUACGGUGGUGAUUACCAGCCUUCUCAGGGCGUCCCGAGGGAUGUACUGGAUGAGGUGGAGAUUCGGCAUCUGCUAAUUGAACAUGUUGGACAUCGAUGUUGUUGGGGAAGCCGGCCUGGUCGCACAUGGAAAAUUACAUCCAUCGAGGACUGCAAUGUAUAUGUUGGAACCUUGGAAACCUUUAUCGAGGAAAGAGACACCAUAUUAAAGAAGGAACCCUACAAUGGUGGGAAAAUAGAUGGAAGAGACAAGGGUGCUGUUCUUGGUGUGUGGGAACUAGAUUUGAGGUCCGAGUUUCCAAUGCUCUUUGUACCAGAGAAAGAAGUAAUGGUCAAGAUUCCUCAUUCAGAAGUUACUGAAAAAUGCUUAGAUUGCGAGGGUCGUGGAGAGGCACCAUGUCCUACUUGCAAUGCUGGUCAGCAGCACGGGUUUUACAAGGCAAAUCAAAUGACUCGGUGCAGUGUAUGUCAUGGCAGGGGUUUGCUCGCUCACCAAGAUGGAUCUGAUUCAGUAUGUGGGAUGUGCAAUGGUCAAGGAAUGUUGCCCUGCAUAGCAUGUGCAUCCCGGGGCCUAGUGACAUGCCAGACAUGUAAUGGCUGUGGUUCCCUUCUUGCACAAAGCACUGCUCAUGUUCGAUGGAAGACGCUUACAGCGAGAAAAGUUAGUGCAACAACAGGAGCUGCUUCGGUCCCUGAUGAAGUUUUCCACAGAGCGCAAGGGGUGCAACUAUGCAACAUACAGGCAUAUCAAUGCACUCCUGCUUUCUUUGCCGAUUCAUACCCACUCAACCAGUUCUCGUCGGAGAUUGCCGCUAGCCGGCUGCCAGUUCCACCAUCCGCAAGAGUCAUUUCGGAGAGACACAUCAUCUCAGUCGUGCCCGUGACCCGUGUCACAAUGUCUCACCGUAAACGGUCUUUUAGCUUCUACGUCGUCGGCUAUGGCAGGGAUGUGUUCAUACGGGACUAUCCUUCGAAGUUUUGCUGGGGCCUUUGCCGUUGCUUCGAAUGGUUGGGGAACUAG
rnacentral:rRNA from 1 species